rnacentral:tRNA from 1 species
AGUAAGGUCAGCUAAAUAAGCUUUUGGGCCCAUACCCCAAAUAUGUUGG